UGGGGAAUCUUCCGCAAUGGGCGCAAGCCUGACGGAGCAACGCCGCGUGAGUGAAGAAGGUUUUCGGAUCGUAAAGCUCUGUUGAGAGGGACGAGAGAUAUAAUCAGGAAAUGGGUUAUAGAGGACGGUACCUUUCGAGGAAGCCACGGCUAACUACGUGCCAGCAGCCGCGGUAAUACGUAGGUGGCGAGCGUUGUCCGGAAUUAUUGGGCGUAAAGGGAGCGCAGGUGGGAAAGUAAGUCAGUCUUAAAAGUUCGGGGCUCAACCCCGUGAUGGGAUUGAAACUACUUUUCUUGAGUGCAGGAGAGGAAAGCGGAAUUCCUAGUGUAGCGGUGAAAUGCGUAGAUAU
rnacentral:rRNA from 1 species